ACAAGGUGGUGCUCACGGCGAACAAAUCCUUGUCAUCACCGGAGUAGAAGAGCCGUGUUGACCGGCCGGAAAAAUCAUUUCUGUGAUUCAAGAGCGAAGGAACUGCUAAAGCUGGUGCACUCCGAUCUAGGUGGCCCUUAGGGGUGUCAUCGUUUGGAGGGAGUCGCUACUUCGUUAGGAUUGUGGACGAUGCCAGCAAAAAGGUGAACGUGUACUUGCUCGAACGGAAAAACCAAGUUCUGGAAGUAUUUUAGAAGUUCAAAGCUAGAGCUGAGAGACAAAGCGGGACGAAGUUGAUGAUUUUGCGUACUGACAAUGGGACAGAGUACGUCAACAAAGGAGUCAAACAACGUGUUCGUAUACACCUGUGCAAAAUGGUGUUGCGGAACGUAUGAACCGAACAUUGGUGUAGAAAGCACGAUGCAUGCUCAAUGAUGCGAGAUUUAGUAAGCAGUUUUAGGCGGAAGCAAUCUCAACUGCUGCUCAACUGCUGGGAGACAAAACACCGGAGGAAGCGUGGUCGGGGAAUAAGCCAAAUCUGCAGCAAUGAAACGCGUACCGAAAGGGAAAAGAAAGAAGUUCGACUCCAAGGCAAGGCAAGACAGGCUAUCUUUGUUGGCUAUUGUGAUAACACGAAAAGGUUAUCGUCUCGCCGAAGGUGCAAUGAGUGCAAAAGCAACGUGUGACCAAAACGUACACCCGGUGAAACUCAUGGAGCUUCAAUUAGAAGAGUUACUGGUGCCAAACAGCAUUGCGGAUAUGACCAAUGAAGGUCAACAAAAUGCCGCAGUUGGCGUAGUCUCGGACGAUGAAAACCAGAGCACCGAAAAAUUUAUUGGCAAGCAUGAAGAAUUUAUUGGAUAUGGACUAUAUUCUGGUGAUAGCCUUUCCCCCCAGUUACCUUCUGAUUCAACCAACGGAGACUUUGCGAUGAACGAUCCGAAAACCUAGGAAGCGGUUCUACAGAGUCUGACCGGGAUCAUUGGAUUCAAGCAAUGAACGAUGAAUUGAUGCCGCUAAACGAGAACAACACGUGGGUGUUGACAGACCUAUGGGUGUUCAAAACGAAGCGGGGUCCUGAUGGGGUCAUUCAAUGGUACAAAGCUCGUUUCGUCAUUAAAGGAUGCUCACAGAGGCCAGGUCUCGAUUACGAUGAGGUGUACUCUCCUGUGGUGCGAUAUGCGACGAUUCAUUACCUCAUGGCACGGGCAGUCAAGUUCGAUCUGGACAUCGAUCAGAUGGAUGCCUCAAUGGCUUUUUUGCAAGGAGGGCUGAGAAAGCAGAAGAUCUACAUACUGCAACCACAGAGUAUCGAUCAACGAAAUGAGAAGGUUGAAGAAAGCGCUCUAUGGUCUGAAGCAGACAAACAGAGUAUAGUAUGCGGUAGUGUUCUCAAGAAGCUCGGUCUGAUUCGUUCUUCACUAAACUGUUGCUUGUAUUGGGUGAUUUCUGAAAGUAAAACGAUGUUCGUCACCAUUUAUGUUGAGAUUUGAAGCAGAAGCUGAAGAUAUAUCCGGGUUAGCAGUUCAAAACGAAGGAUUUCGGUGAAGCCAAAUUCUGUCUGAGUAUCCGGAUUACAAUGAAUCAAGCAGAAUGUAAUCUGAGGCAUGAUCAACAAGCUUACAUCGAGGAAUUGUUGACCAAAGCACAAUUUGUAUCAACGCUCGCAGAACCAAGUAUACGACUAGUUGAACCAAUGAGAGGCUGGUAGUCAGUUCUGUUCCAGUCAGUGGCGUAGCGUGACAGAUGAUACCCGGGGGGAUAGUUGGGUAUCACCCCGCUUCCCCUGGGUGUCACCCCCACCAGGUUGUAGCAGAAUCGUCUUGUUAUCAAAAAUUGUGAGAGUUAGCACGCUCAUUUUCAAUUGCACUAAAUCUACCCAUUUUUGGAAUAAAGGUUGAAACUAUACACUUAGGAGCAAA